GAUUUGGGUCAGACUGAAGUCGACGGCGAUCGAUUGUCAGCGGCAAUUGCCUCAACGCGCAAGCGCACAAAUAGUUUCCCUUUCACCCAAGGGUUCUGUAGCUGCAGUAUUUUACAGUCAUCGUUCAGACAUCGUUCGCGGGCGCCGAUUACGGCGACUAAACAGAAUUCUUUAAGUUUUUCUUCUGUCAGAGCUUUCAAAUCGGGUUUCUUUUGCUUCACGAGUUUUUCCAACUGCCUCACGACCAGCUGGACAACUUGCUGGACUGUCGUGCACGGGGAUACGUGGAGCU
rnacentral:lncRNA from 1 species